GACAGAGGGUGCAAACGUUUGUUCGGAAUUACUGGGCGUAAAGCGCGUGUAGGCGGCCCAUUAAGUCUGAUGUGAAAGCCCGGGGCUCACCCCCGGAAGUGCAUUGGAAACUGAUGGACUCGAGUCCCGGAGAGGAGAGUGGAAUUCCGUGGUGUAGCGGUGAAAUGCGUAGAAUAUCAGGAGGAACACCUGGUGGCGAAGGCGGCUCAGC
rnacentral:rRNA from 1 species